rnacentral:rRNA from 1 species
UACACACUGCCCGUCACGCCAUGAAAGCUGUCUGUACCCGAAGUUGUCUUAGCUAACCUGUAAAGGGGCGGAUACCUAAGGUAUGGGGAGUGAUUGGGGCG